UACGUAGGGUGCGAGCGUUGUCCGGAAUUACUGGGCGUAAGGCGCACGUAGGCGGACUAUUAAGUCAGGGGUGAAAUCCCGGGGCUCAACCCCGGAACUGCCUUUGAUACUGGUAGUCUCGAGUCCGGAAGAGGUGAGUGGAAUUCCGAGUGUAGAGGUGAAAUUCGUAGAUAUUCGGAGGAACACCAGUGGCGAAGGCGGCUCACUGGUCCGGUACUGACGCUGAGGUGCGAAAGCGUGGGGAGCAAACAGG
rnacentral:rRNA from 1 species